rnacentral:rRNA from 1 species
GUCCUAGCCCUAAACGGUGCACGUUUGCUGUAAGAGGAAUCGACCCCUUUGUGGCGAAGCUAACGCAUUAAACGUGCCGCCUGGGAAGUACGGCCGCAAGGUUAAACUCAAAGAAAUUGACGGGGCCUGCACAAGCGGUGGAGUAUGUGGCUUAAUUCGAUGCAACGCGAAGAACCUUACCUGGCCUUGACAUGCAAGUAGUAGAAGCCUGAAAGGGCGACGAGGUAGCAAUACCAGCUUGCACAGGUGCUGCAUGGCUGUCGU